rnacentral:rRNA from 1 species
AUGAAAGGAGGCAAGGCGAUGGGCCUUGAUUGUAUCCCCACUGAGGUGUGGAGAGGCCUUGGGGACAUAGCGAUAAUAUGGCUAACCAAGCUUUUCAACCUCAUUUUUCGGGCAAACAAGAUGCCAGAAGAAUGGAGACGAAGAAUAUUAGUACCAAUCUUCAAGAACAAGGGGGGUGUUCAGAGUUGUACUAAUUACCAUGGAAUUAAGCUGGUGAGACAUACAAUGAAACUAUGGGAGAGAGUUAUUGAGCGCUGCUUAAGAAGAAUGACAAGCGUGACCAAAAAUCAGUUUGAUUUCAUGCCUGGGAGGUCAACCAUGGAGGCCAUUUUCUUGAUACAACAACUUAUGGAGAGAUACAGGGAGCAAAAGGACCUGCAUAUGGUGUUCAUUGACUUGUAG